rnacentral:rRNA from 1 species
GAUGAACGCUGGCGGCGUGCCUAAUACAUGCAAGUCGAGCGAACGGACGAGAAGCUUGCUUCUCUGAUGUUAGCGGCGGACGGGUGAGUAACACGUGGAUAACCUACCUAUAAGACUGGGAUAACUUCGGGAAACCGGAGCUAAUACCGGAUAAUAUUUUGAACCGCAUGGUUCAAAAGUGAAAGACGGUCUUGCUGUCACUUAUAGAUGGAUCCGCGCUGCAUUAGCUAGUUGGUAAGGUAACGGCUUACCAAGGCAACGAUGCAUAGCCGACCUGAGAGGGUGAUCGGCCACACUGGAACUGAGACACGGUCCAGACUCCUACGGGAGGCAGCAGUAGGGAAUCUUCCGCAAUGGGCGAAAGCCUGACGGAGCAACGCCGCGUGAGUGAUGAAGGUCUUCGGAUCGUAAAACUCUGUUAUUAGGGAAGAACAUAUGUGUAAGUAACUGUGCACAUCUUGACGGUACCUAAUCAGAAAGCCACGGCUAACUACGUGCCAGCAGCCGCGGUAAUACGUAGGUGGCAAGCGUUAUCCGGAAUUAUUGGGCGUAAAGCGCGCGUAGGCGGUUUUUUAAGUCUGGUGUGAAAGCCCACGGCUCAACCGUGGAGGGUCAUUGGAAACUGGAAAACUUGAGUGCAGAAGAGGAAAGUGGAAUUCCAUGUGUAGCGGUGAAAUGCGCAGAGAUAUGGAGGAACACCAGUGGCGAAGGCGACUUUCUGGUCUGUAACUGACGCUGAUGUGCGAAAGCGUGGGGAUCAAACAGGAUUAGAUACCCUGGUAGUCCACGCCGUAAACGAUGAGUGCUAAGUGUUAGGGGGUUUCCGCCCCUUAGUGCUGCAGCUAACGCAUUAAGCACUCCGCCUGGGGAGUACGACCGCAAGGUUGAAACUCAAAGGAAUUGACGGGGACCCGCACAAGCGAUGGAGCAUGUGGUUUAAUUCGAAGCAACGCGAAGAACCUUACCAAAUCUUGACAUCCUUUGACAACUCUAGAGAUAGAGCUUUCCCCUUCGGGGGACAAAGUGACAGGUGGUGCAUGGUUGUCGUCAGCUCGUGUCGUGAGAUGUUGGGUUAAGUCCCGCAACGAGCGCAACCCUUAAGCUUAGUUGCCAUCAUUAAGUUGGGCACUCUAAGUUGACUGCCGGUGACAAACCGGAGGAAGGUGGGGAUGACGUCAAAUCAUCAUGCCCCUUAUGAUUUGGGCUACACACGUGCUACAAUGGACAAUACAAAGGGCAGCGAAACCGCGAGGUCAAGCAAAUCCCAUAAAGUUGUUCUCAGUUCGGAUUGUAGUCUGCAACUCGACUACAUGAAGCUGGAAUCGCUAGUAAUCGUAGAUCAGCAUGCUACGGUGAAUACGUUCCCGGGUCU